GCCGCAGCGCCGCUCCCGGAAGUGCCACGUGUCCGCAGUGCGGCUGCGCGGGCCGCCCGGCAGUUCCGGUGGGUCCGUCCCCCCCGCCCGGGCCGGCGCCGCCACACGGGCGGCACCGAGCGCAGCCGGCCGAGCCAUGGCCCAGCCCGCCGGGGCCCCCGCCGGCCAGCAGCCCUACAGCAACGGCCCUGUUCAAAAUCAACUGAUGCAUUCCCCAGAUGGCCAGGGGUACAGCCCUGCAGUUCCAGGAUCGUACUCCCAUCAGAUGCCAGCAAAGGUUCCUCCACAUCAGUCUUCUGGACAGUACAGCUAUAGUGGCUCUCAGAAUGUUUCUCAGUUAAACAACUACCAAGGACCUGGCCAGACUCUCAAUAGACCACCAGUGGCAGCUUUCUCUGGGUCACCAGUACAACAGCCAGGUCCUGUUCCACAAGUGCUGCCGCCUGCAUUACAGAACUCAGCUGCUGUAUCCUGUGCUGGGAGCUUUCCUCCUGGAGCCAGCCCACCGGUGCUUUCAAACUGGCAGUACAGCCAAACUCCUGUCAGUCAGCCACUUGGGGCUCAAACAAGCCAUUUGGCUCAUGUGCCUGGGACAGGGUCAGCUCAGCCACCGUCAUCAUUGCCAGGAAGUACAAAUCCUGCAGGGAGUUACCAGUAUGCUGCUUCCCCGGGGGCUCCUCCGCUGCAGAACAGCUACAUGAAGCCAGGAUCUGCACCUCCACCAGUGACUCAGCCUUUAACUCCUCUCCACCCUCCAAGGCCACCUUUAGGACCUCCACCCGUUGGUGGUCCACCUAGGCCACCAGCAGCAGUAGCAGGACCACCCAGUGCACAGUCUAUGCUAAAAUCAGCUCCAAACCAAGAAGGUGAUGCCAGAUCUGCUGCCAGUGAUGGGUCUGUAGUGCAAAACAGCUACGAUGCAAUUGAAGGUGGUGGCCUCAUGGCAACUCCACAUCAUUCUCCUGCAGCCCCAAAUCUUAAGAUGAAUAGAAGUGUUGGGUAUUCUUACCCUGCCUUACCUCCAGGCUAUCAACAUACUUCUGCACCUGGAGCACCAGGAAUGAAUGCAUCUGCUUUGCAAUAUCCAGAUGGAUCAAAACAUUUCCACCAGCCUGCCCUGGGCACUAAUCACUUAACUGCAUCAAUGGCUGGCCUGAGUCUACAGCAGGAAGGGUUAAGACCUGUGAAUCUUCUUCAAGAAAGAAAUAUUCUUCCUACCACCCUUUUGAAGGCUCCUGUCCCCAACUUGCAUGAAGACAUCCAGAAGCUCAACUGCAAUCCUGAGUUGUUCCGCUGUACCCUGACUAACAUUCCUCAAACUCAGGCCUUAUUGAAUAAAGCCAAACUUCCUUUGGGGCUCCUGCUUCAUCCUUUCAAAGACUUAUCGCAAUUGCCAGUGGUCACUUCCAGUAUUAUUGUGAGAUGCCGUUCCUGCCGGACGUACAUCAACCCUUUUGUCAGCUUCCUAGACCAAAGGAGAUGGAAAUGCAAUUUGUGCUAUAGAGUCAAUGAUGUUCCUGAAGAAUUCCUGUAUAAUCCUGUGACAAGAGUUUAUGGAGAACCUCAUAAAAGACCUGAAGUCCAGAAUGCUACUAUUGAGUUUAUGGCUCCAUCUGAAUACAUGCUGCGUCCACCUCAGCCACCCGUGUACCUCUUUGUGUUUGAUGUCUCUCACAAUGCCAUAGAGACAGGAUACUUGAAUACAGUCUGCCAGACCUUGUUAGACAAUCUUGACUCACUUCCUGGGAACACUAGAACAAAAAUAGGCUUCAUAACAUUUGACAGCACAAUCCAUUUCUACAGUCUUCAGGAAGGUCUGUCUCAGCCUCAGAUGCUUAUAGUUUCAGAUAUUGAAGAUGUAUUUAUACCAAUGCCAGAAAACUUAUUAGUAAAUUUGAAUGAAAAUAAAGAGCUAAUUCAAGAUCUGCUGAAGACAUUGCCACAGAUGUUUACCAAGUCCCUGGAAACUCAGAGUGCUCUGGGACCUGCAUUACAGGCUGCCUUUAAACUGAUGUCCCCCACUGGAGGUAGAAUCACUGUCUUCCAGACACAGCUCCCAUCUCUGGGAAUGGGAGCACUGAAGUCACGAGAGGAGCCAAACCAAAGAGCAACAGCAAAGGAUAUACAUCUGACACCAUCCACUGAUUUUUACAAGAAGUUGGCCUUGGACUGCUCAGGGCAGCAGGUUGCAGUGGAUUUAUUUCUUCUUAGUGGGCAAUAUUCUGACUUGGCUUCUCUAGGUUGUAUAUCAAGGUAUUCUGCAGGUAGUGUCUACUACUACCAGUCUUACCAUCAUAAACACAACCCUGUCCAGGUGGAGAAAUUGCAAAAGGAACUGAAACGAUAUUUAACUAGAAAAAUUGGGUUUGAGGCUGUCAUGAGGAUAAGAUGCACCAAAGGUCUUUCCAUUCAUACUUUCCACGGGAACUUCUUUGUACGAUCUACAGACUUGUUGUCAUUACCCAACGUAAACCCAGAUGCAGGCUACGCUGUGCAGAUGUCAGUGGAAGAGAGUCUUACUGAUAUGCAAGUUGUUUCUUUUCAGUCAGCUCUCCUGUACACCUCCAGCAAAGGUGAAAGGCGAAUUCGUGUCCACACUAUGUGCUUGCCUGUUGUCACAACACUGAGUGAGGUGUACCUAGGGGCAGAUGUGCAGGCCAUCACAGGGCUCUUGGCCAAUAUGGCUGUGGACCGCUCCGUUUCCGCCACGCUGAGCGAUGCUCGGGAUGCCUUGGUCAAUGCAGUGAUCGAUUCCUUGGCUGCUUACCGCUCCUCCGUGCUGAGCAUCCAGCAGCCCGGGCUCACUGCUCCCUUCUCACUGCGCCUCUUCCCACUGUAUGUACUGGCACUCUUAAAACAGAAAGCAUUUCAAACUGGGACAAACACACGUUUGGAUGAACGCAUCUUUACCAUGUGUCAGGUGAAAAACCAGCCCCUUGUUUACCUCAUGCUCAUGACACAUCCCAGUCUGUACAGAGUCGAUACUCUCACAGAUGAGGGAGCUCUGAACAUAAAUGACAGAACUAUACCUCAGCCACCCCUUCUCCAGCUGUCAGUGGAGAAGUUGAGUAGGGAUGGUGCUUAUCUUAUGGAUGCUGGCUCUGUGAUGUUUCUGUGGAUCGGGAAGAACUGUGGGCAGGGUUUUAUCAGCCAAGUCCUUGGAGUUCCAAAUUACGGCUCAAUACCACAGAAUAUGACACAUCUCCCAGAACUCGAAACAGCAGAAUCCAUCAGGACACGAACUUUCAUUUCUUGGCUGAGAGAACAGAGACCUUUCUUUCCUAUACUAUAUAUAAUAAAGGAUGAGAGUCCAUUGAAAUCAAGUUUUCUGCAAAAUAUGAUUGAAGACAGAACAGAAUCAGCCUUAUCAUACUAUGAAUUCCUCCUUCAUAUACAGCAGCAAGUGAAUAAAUGAAACACUAGCCUUUGGCUUCUUUAAGGAAAGAUUUUGCAGUAAAGAAUGAUUGUGCUUGUAAUAUCUUCAUUAAAUCUGUGGCCUGAGGCAGUUGAUGAGAAGUUCUCACUGUGAUUUCAACGAACUAAAGCAAAUAAAGGACCACAUCUGAGAAUCAAAUGUGCAACUACAUAAUAUUGUACCUUAAAAAAAAAAAUCAAACUGUUGGAACUGGUUGAGCACCUUUAAUUUGCUGCAAAUCGUGUUUUUACUGGAAAUUCUUUCUAAGUGUAUCCAGUGAUUACAGACAGAGCAUCUCAAUGUUCAACUUAAUGCUUAAAGUAGCAAUGAAAGAAGUGUUCAUUGUGAAAUGAACAAAUGCUUGUGAAGUGUAGAAUCCAGUGCUUGGAUUGGAUUAUGGCUAAUAGGACUAAAGGUAAGCUUAACCUGGAUAAGGUGGCUGAAUUUCUUGAAGCUUUUAAUAAGUCAAUAUUCUAAUUUUAAAAGCAGUGGGGAAGAGUGGGCCCUACAUGAGACAGAUUUUCAAAAGUUACUGGCUGAGUUGGCAGCAAAAGUAGACUUAGGUAGAUUGUAAGCUUUGCUUUUCUUCAGUGAAAGGAACAGUUUUAAUUUCUCUUUAUUAGUGGUGUGGGAGGGGAAGAGCAAGGAAGGUUUUCUCAGAUUUUGUUUGGUUUAUGUUCAGUAGACUUUUGGCUCUUGUUUACUUUAAGUGAAUGUUGGGCCCCUCAGAUCUGGUGUGUUUCUGAAGCAAGUUUGUUGGCAGCACUUCAGACCAAAUGUUGGUCUGCCACACUGAAUAUUCUGACAUUAAAACUGGAAAUUAUUUUUCCAAGAACAAAAUUAUUAUAUUGAAUUUGAAGAUAUGUGUUUGGUUGCAGACAUGCCUGAAAUUUUAGAAAAAAAAAAGGUUUUGCUGCAGCUGUGUAAUGAGCCCAGGUCCAAGGCCAGUGUGCACCAAAUAAAAUCUUCAACUAUACUGAGAUCCUGCCAGAGCUACAGUUUGAAGCUGACAUCGGACUUGAAGUAAAAACUUAUAUACAAAAAAUAUUUAAAUAAUUUUAUAGAGGUGUAUUGAUAAUUCUUCUGUUUUCAAGAUUAAGCUAUCAUUGAUAGCUACCAAUGUAAAAGGUAUUUAAGUUACAGUAUUCCAAUGCCCAUGGAAGUAUUGCAUAUGGAAAAAUCUUGGUUUGCUUUUUUAUUUAACAGUGGUAAACAUAAAGGUCUUUCAAAACCUACUUUCUGGGGCAGGUAAUUUGAAGAGGUAAAACACUUGUGAGUGGUCAAAUGUACUAUGCUUAGGACGUCUGGAGAUACAAAUGUCAGUAGGGUCAACAUUUGGGAAAACAUUUGCUCCCAUUUCAGGCUGUAGCUGCGUGUGAUUGUCAGGAUUUGCCUCACCUCAGGGGAGGGGUUCCUUGGGAGAAACUGUUCUUGAGCACAAGAAGCUAAAGUUCAGAACAAUGGCUAAAACAGCGUGAAAAGAUUAUUGCAGAACCAAUUUAAGCUUCCCUGUCUGCUGCUUCUGUAGCAAACAGGAAUAUAUUUACUUGAACUGCUUUUCAGAGAAUUGCACAGUUUCUAGUCAUAGUCAAGAGGUGUCUUUUAAGUUUUGACAGUCUGACUUUUUAUUUUUUUCCCCAGGGAGGGGGAAAGAGGUCUCUUCAUUUAAAACACAAAUGGAACCUCUGCACUUGCAUAGGUUCUGCCCUAAACCUUGUGUUUUGGGUAUAUUAUCAUUCAGAUGUUGAAUUGAAAACCAUCCUUGCAUCAAAUAGCCCACCCAAAGUCUAUUUCUUCCUAUGACUGUAUUUUGCUACUAUAUCCCUUUUUUAAAGAAACAUAAAUACUGGAGAUGGCCUCAUUGCUUUGUGUCCACCAGACUAAUGGCUGAAGAUGUCAGUCUUUGUGGCAUUUAGCAAGUUUGAAGUUGAGUCCCUAAGUUUUACAGAGCAAAACAUGAUAAAUGAGUGAGAUGAGCCCUCUGGGAGUUCUCUUCACUUUGGAAGAAAUUCUCUAUUGAACUUUGUUUAUUCCCUUGCAGUGGGGGAAGCCUGCUGGCUCACUGGUACUGCUGUAAUGGCAAUACAGGGAACAUGAACACACACACACACACCUGUGAUUGCUUUUAUACAAACCAUUAAAAAAUGAGGACGCUGAAGAUGGACUGCAAGAGUGGUUCUGGUACUUAGAUCUCAGCACCACAACUCCACCACCGUAAAUGUGUGGUAAAGGUGUGUCUCUCUGUAGUCAAAUGCUUUUUAAAAAAAACUGUUUCUUAUUUUGACACAUUAGUGUUCAGCCAACAUUGUUACCAUCCAUUUUACUUUGCUUUCAUUAUUGUUUUUAAAUUAAUAUAUUUGAGUUUAAGUCCACAUAGACUAUGUUGCAAUAACUAGAAUGAUUUUAUUUAGAAUUAAUUUCUUAACAAUUUAAUCAAAGAUGCAGAAUGGCUGUUAAGUUAAGGGACCAUUAAAUGUGAUUUUAAGGUUCUGUUGACUAUUAUGGAUGUAAUCCUUAUAGUAAAUUUAAUUUUGUAAAGUAGUGUAUAAUAUUGUAAUAUUAAAUCUUUGUUCUCUGAACUCAAAGAUUUGAUCUUCAGUAUGAAGUUAUAAAUCUUCCCCCUUCUGAAUUUGAGACAGGAUUUACUUGUCCUCCUUUUUACAGUUUGUAAUUUUCACUGUUUUAUUCCUGUAAAAAGUCAUUUAUAACACAUGCAAAUGCUUAUUUUAUCUGUGCUAAUUUAUCAGAUUUGGCUACUCAAUAAAAUUAAUUGA